rnacentral:rRNA from 1 species
UCAAGCAAGAAAGAGCGCAGGGUGGAUGCCUUGGCACUAAGAGCCGAAGAAAGACGUGAUAAGCUGCGAAAAGCUGCGGGGAGGAGCAAAUAUCCAUUGAGCCGCAGAUAUCUGAAUGGGGAAACCCGGCUGGACGAACUCCAGUCAUCCAUACGCCAAUCCAUAACGUAUGGAAGGGAACCCGGUGAACUGAAACAUCUAAGUAGCCGGAGGAAUAGAAAGAAACAAGUUCUUUCAUUAGAAAGAAAAAUCGAUUUCCAAAGUAGCGGCGAGCGAAAUGGAAAGAGGCCAAACCAUGGUGCGUGCACCGUGGGGUUCGGACCGCAUAAUUGAUUCGUUGAUCCUAGCAGAAAGGUUUUGGGAAAGCCUGCCAGAGAGGGUGAAAGCCCCGUAAGCGAAAGGAAAGACGACAUGGCGGAAUCCAGAGUACAUCGAGACACGAGAAACCUUGAUGGAAUGAGCGGGGACCACCCCGUAAGCCUAAAUACUCCUUAGUGACCGAUAGCGCAUAGUACUGUGAAGGAAAGGUGAAAAGGACCCCGGGAGGGGAGUGAAAGAGAACCUGAAACCCUGUGUUUACAAGCUGUGGAACAUCUUUAUAUGAUGAACCGCGUACUUUUUGUAGAACGGUCCGGCGAGUUACGCGUGCCGGCAAGGUUAAGCACUUAAGGUGUGGAGCCGAAGAGAAAUCGAGUCUGAACAGGGCGUUCAGUCAGCACGCGUAGACCCGAAACCGGGUGAUCUACCCAUGUCCAGGUUGAAGUUGCCGUAAAAGGCAAUGGAGGACCGAACGCACAUCCGUUGAAAAGGGUGGCGAUGAGGUGUGGGUAGGGGAGAAAUUCCAAUCGAACCCGGAGAUAGCUGGUUCUCCUCGAAAUAGCUUUAGGGCUAGCCUCAUUUUAGUCUUAUGGAGGUAGAGCACUGAAUUUCCGCGGGGGCGUCAAAGCUUACCAAAGAAUAUCAAACUCCGAAUGCCAUGUAGAUGAUGAAUGGGAGUCAGACUGCACGAGAUAAGUUGGGUGGUCAAAAGGGAAAGAGCCCAGACCUACAGCUAAGGUCCCAAAGUGCGUGUUAAGUGGAAAAGGAUGUGGGAUUUCAAAGACAACCAGGAUGUUGGCUCAGAAGCAGCCAUACAUUCAAAGAGUGCGUAACAGCUCACUGGUCGAGAGGUCCUGCGCCGAAAAUGUCCGGGGCUGAAACACGACACCGAAGCUUAGGAAUCACAUAGUGAUUGGUAGAGGAGCAUUCUUAAAACCGACGAAGCUGUACCGGAAGGAGCAGUGGAGGGAUAAGAAGAGAGAAUGCCGGAAUGAGUAGCGAGAGGAAGGUGGGAAUCCUUCCGGCCGAAUAUCUAAGGUUUCCAGAGUAAAGCUGAUCUGCUCUGGGUAAGUCGGGGCCUAAGGAGAGGUCGAAAGACGUAUCCGAUGGACAACAGGUUUAGAUUCCUGUACCACAUAUAAACAGAACUGUGGGGACGCAUGUGGAAAGCAUAAGCCGGGAAUGGAAAUACCGGUACAAACGGAAGAGGUGUCAGGCUGGCAAAUCCGCCUGGCAAGCCAAAGACGUGAUGUGGAGCGAAAUAAAAGUAGCGAAGUAUGUGAGCCAUGUGCCGAGAAAAGCCGCUAUUGUUUUAUAUGUGCCCGUACCGUAAACCGACACAGGUGGAUGAGGAGAGAAUCCUAAGGCCGACGGAAGAAGCAUUGUUAAGGAACUCGGCAAAAUGACCCCGUAACUUCGGGAGAAGGGGUGCCCACUUCAGGGUGGGCCGCAGAGAAUAGGCUCAAGCAACUGUUUAGCAAAAACACAGGUCUAUGCGAAACCGUAAGGUGAAGUAUAUGGGCUGACGCCUGCCCGGUGCUGGAAGGUUAAGAGGAGAGGUUAGUCGCAAGAUGAAGCUUUGAAUUUAAGCCCCAGUAAACGGCGGCCGUAACUAUAACGGUCCUAAGGUAGCGAAAUUCCUUGUCGGGUAAGUUCCGACCCGCACGAAAGGCGUAAUGAUUUGAGCACUGUCUCGACAA